CUAAAAACAUGCAUGAAUGAAUCAAGGCAACACUCCAGAAACACCUGUUCCCUGGGUCUAAGAGUAAGGAAAUUAAGGCAGGGUUAUGGGAAAUGUAGUCCUGUGUGUGUGAACACAUUUAGUGGAGAAAACCGAUUCUGAUUCUGAAUGUGGCUAAAGUAAUCCGGUCUAAACACCAACAGCUGGAUAUGUUCAGUGGAGGUUUGUAGGUCAGAAGUCUCCACCACUCCUGGCCCGCCGCCGCUAACAGCUGACCUCAAAGAUCACCGGCGUGUCGCGCCGCACCGUGAACAUCUGUAGCCGCGCGCACGGUUAGCCGCUCACCGCCGUCCGCGGCCUCAGGAACAAAGUCUGGGCAUGUAUCUGCUCAGCGGUCACAGCGCUCAGGUACAGCAAAAUGCAGCAAAAGCCCCAAGGUCAAACGAAGUCAGACUAUUAAACCUGUUCAUGCUGAACAUGACCCUCCCCACCACCCUCUACUCCCACCCAUCAUCGCCGGCUUGGUACAGUCAAAUCCUCUCUUCUUCUUGCCUUCAUCUCCUCCUCAGACUCUCUGUGUUUCCAUCCCCCGCACCCCUGAAAGCGCCGCUGCUGCCAAAAACCUGCCGCCCGCAGCACCGGCGGAGGAUCGUCUCUCAGCCUGUCUCUUCCCGCAGAUACACACACUCGCUAAAUACUCUCUUUAUUUUCAUUUUUCUUUGACCUCUGUAAGCCCUCCCCCUCUCCGCUGUGACUGGCUGCCAGAACUGCCCACCAUGUUGUCCAUGGGCUUAUUCUCUCUGACAGCUGGGAGUAAACAGCCAGGCUUUUGCAUUGGUUUUACGAGAGGACGGUGAGGACCGACUAUGAAAAACAUGACACCGUUUUCUCCUCAAACAGAGAACAGCUCAGCUCCCCUUCAGUCCGCCGUUCACUGACUUUGGCAACCAUUUUUUUUGCCGCCAGCGCUUUCAAAACUCUCGACGCACCUUUGACGUUUUCCACCUUAAAUUUUUCCUUGAAAUAAA